AUUGAACGCUGGCGGCAGGCCUAACACAUGCAAGUCGAGCGGUAGAGAGGUGCUUGCACCUCUUGAGAGCGGCGGACGGGUGAGUAAUGCCUAGGAAUCUGCCUGGUAGUGGGGGAUAACGUUCGGAAACGGACGCUAAUACCGCAUACGUCCUACGGGAGAAAGCAGGGGACCUUCGGGCCUCGCGCUAUCAGAUGAGCCUAGGUCGGAUUAGCUAGUUGGUAAGGUAAUGGCUCACCAAGGCGACGAUCCGUAACUGGUCUGAGAGGAUGAUCAGUCACACUGGAACUGAGACACGGUCCAGACUCCUACGGGAGGCAGCAGUGGGGAAUAUUGGACAAUGGGCGAAAGCCUGAUCCAGCCAUGCCGCGUGUGUGAAGAAGGUCUUCGGAUUGUAAAGCACUUUAAGUUGGGAGGAAGGGUACUUACCUAAUACGUGAGUAUUUUGACGUUACCGACAGAAUAAGCACCUGCUAACUCUGUGCCAGCAGCCGCGGUAACAC
rnacentral:rRNA from 1 species